GGCCCCCCGCCGGCGGCUGCUGGACUUCCACCGGGCCUACUUCCUGAAGGAGCUGCGCGGCUGUGCCAGCCACCCCCUGCGUGCAGGGGCCUGCUUCCUGCGCUACGCGGACCAGUUCGGUCUCUAUGCCCCAUACGUGAAGAACCAGCAGAAGCUCAUGGCAGCCCUGGCCUGCCAUCCAGCUGCCAACAAGACCAUGCACGGCAGCCCCGAGGCCCUGGCAAG